rnacentral:rRNA from 1 species
UAGGGAAUCUUCCACAAUGGGCGCAAGCCUGAUGGAGCAACGCCGCGUGAGUGAAGAAGGUCUUCGGAUCGUAAAGCUCUGUUGUUGGUGAAGAAGGAUAGAGGCAGUAACUGGUCUUUAUUUGACGGUAAUCAACCAGAAAGUCACGGCUAACUACGUGCCAG